rnacentral:misc_RNA from 1 species
GCCCUGUUCGAAUAAAAAGAAAAGAAGCAUAUGAGCCAAAAAUCACAGUGUAGCCAAGCUGAAGACCUACAACCAUGGCGGCCUUAAGCAUACUGUAGUUAUGCCUGACAUAGAUCUCCAUCCAAUGGUUUAAAUGUGCCAAGCUGAAAAGAAUAGGGCAGAGAAAAAAAGACACUGUAGAUCUUGAAUCCUCCACACAGAAGUAAAGGUAUCAUACAUGCUCUAAACACCAAUUCCUCUGUUAAUGGAGCCACUACAUAAUUGCGCCACGCCAGAACAUUAGAAGAAGUUGAAGACAUCCAAGCAAUGAAGUUUUGCAUGAGAUUUUUGAUGUAGCCAAAUGAAAAUCCUCCACACUCAUUCAAAUGCUCCUUCCAUGACUCCACCAAUAACAAUAACUUGAGGCAAAAAGAUCCAGCGUACAUUAAAGAAGUCAAGGAAAUAGGAAAGACCACCGCUUGCCAAAUAUGGUCAAACCGGAUUCCAUAAACGCCAAGCAAAUGAGAUGCUUCCCUGCUACUCAUAGGAAGGAUAAGAGAGCAGAAAACAAUAGACACAAUCGAAGAAAUGGCGGCGCAUACGAACCGUCGGAUCAUGAAUUCCUUGAGAGAGGACGGAGGUGGGAGCCGUAAGAUCAAACUGGGAGCAUAAAGAAUAGCCACAUAAAACAAAGUCAUGGCCGCGCAGGCUAUCACCGCCGCGGAUUCUGACAAUCCGGUUUCUUGCUCCAUUUUCUUCGAAUUCUCGAACCCUAGACAG